rnacentral:misc_RNA from 1 species
UCUCUCUCUCUCUCUCUCUCUCUCUAGAUCUCACCCACCUGAGCAUUUCCGUUAAUGUGCUACAGCUCUCCGCGAACCCACGACGUCUCUGUCUCAUUCAGUUAUAGGAAUACUGUUUUCAUUGCAUGAUUACGUAGGCCAUGGCCUCGGCUUGCGUUAACAACAUCAGCAUGUCGCCGGAGAACUUCUCGUCGGGAACUUACCCGUCCUACGGUUGGUUGAGUCCGCGAAUCUCUUUUAGCCGUGAAGAG